UACGUAGGUGGCGAGCGUUGUCCGGAUUUACUGGGCGUAAAGAGCGCGCAGGCGGCUGGUCAAGUCCGAUGUGAAAGCUCCCGGCUUAACUGGGAAAUUGCAUCGGAAACUGAUCGGCUGGAAGGUGGGAGAGGGUAGCGGAAUUCCCGGUGUAGUGGUGAAAUGCGUAGAUAUCGGGAGGAACACCAGUGGCGAAGGCGGCCUACUGGGCCGGACCUGACGCUGAGGAG
rnacentral:rRNA from 1 species